rnacentral:rRNA from 1 species
UACGUAGGGGGCAAGCGUUGUCCGGAUUCAUUGGGCGUAAAGAGCGUGUAGGCGGCCAGGUAGGUCGGUUGUGAAAACUGGAGGCUCAACCUUCAGAGGUCGACCGAAACCAUCUGGCUAGAGUCCGGGAGAGGAGAGUGGAAUUCCCGGUGUAGCGGUGAAAUGCGCAGAUAUCUGGAGGAACACCGGUGGCGAAGGCGGCAUCCUGGACCAAUACUGACACUGAGGAGCGAAAGCCAGGGGAGCAAACGGG